GACGAACCGUGCGAACGUUGUUCGGAUUCACUGGGCUUAAAGGGCGCGUAGGCGGCGGCUCAAGUCGGGGGUGAAAUCCUCUCGCUUAACGAGAGAAUUGCUUUCGAUACUGGGUCGCUGGAGGGAGAUAGGGGUGCGCGGAACUUCCGGUGGAGCGGUGAAAUGCGUAGAUAUCGGAAGGAACGCCGGUGGCGAAAGCGGCGCACUGGAUCUCUUCUGACGCUGAGGCGCGAAAGCCAGGGGAGCGAACGGG
rnacentral:rRNA from 1 species